rnacentral:rRNA from 1 species
GACGAACGCUGGCGGCGUGCUUAACACAUGCAAGUCGAACGGGCCUUGUCCCCUUUUUUUUGGGGGUGGGGUUAGUGGCGAACGGGUGAGUAACACGUGAGUAACCUGCCCCUCACUUCUGGAUAACCGCUUGAAAGGGUGGCUAAUACGGGGUGUUCUGGCCUGCUCGCAUGGGUGGGUUUGGAAAGAUUCGACCGGUUUUGGUUGUUUUGGUGGGGGAUGGGCUCGCGGCCUAUCAGCUUGUUGGUGGGGUGAUGGCCUGCCAAGGCUUUGACGGGUAGCCGGCCUGAGAGGGUGGGCGGUCACACUGGGACUGAGACACGGCCCAGACUCCUACGGGAGGCAGCAGUGGGGAAUAUUGCACAAUGGGCGCAAGCCUGAUGCAGCGACGCCGCGUGAGGGAUGGAGGCCUUCGGGUUGCGAACCUCUUUCGCCAGUGAAGAAGGUCCUGCUCUUUGUGGUGGGGUUGACGGUAGCUGGGUUAAUGAAGCGCCGGCUAACUACGUG